rnacentral:rRNA from 1 species
AAUGGACGAAAGUCUGAUCCAGCUAUGCCGCGUGCAGGAUGACGGCCUAUGGGUUGUAAACUGCUUUUAUACAGGAAGAAAAAUCCGACGUGUCGGAUCUUGACGGUACUGUAAGAAUAAGGAUCGGCUAACUCCGUGCCAGCAGCCGCGGUAAUACGGAGGAUCCAAGCGUUAUCCGGAAUCAUUGGGUUUAAAGGGUCCGCAGGCGGUUUUUUAAGUCAGAGGUGAAAUCCUACAGCUCAACUGUAGAAUUGCCUUUGAUACUGAAAGACUUGAGUUAUUGUGCAGUGGUUAGAAUGUGUGGUGUAGCGGUGAAAUGCAUAGAUAUCACACAGAAUACCAAUUGCGAAGGCAGAUCACUAACAAUUAACUGACGCUCAGGGACGAAAGCGUGGGUAGCGAACAGGAUU